CCUACGGGAGGCAGCAGUGAGGAAUAUUGGUCAAUGGACGAGAGUCUGAACCAGCCAAGUAGCGUGAAGGAUGACUGCCCUAUGGGUUGUAAACUUCUUUUAUAUGGGAAUAAAACGUUCCACGUGUGGGAUUUUGUCUGUACCAUAUGAAUAAGGAUCGGCUAACUCCUGGCCAGCAGCCGCGGUAAUAAGGAGGGUCCGAGCGUUAUCCGGGAUUAUUGGGUUUAAAGGGAGCGUAGGUGGAUUGUUAAGUCAGUUGUGAAAGUUUGCGGCUCAACCGUAAAAUUGCAGUUGAAACUGGCAGUCUUGAGUGCAGGAGAGGUGGGCGGAAUUCGUGGUGUAGCGGUGAAAUGCUUAGAUAUCACGAAGAACGCCGAUUGCGAAGGCAGUUCACUGGACUGCAACUGACACUGAGGCUCGAAAGUGUGGGUAUCAAACAGGAUUAGAUACCCCAGUAGUC
rnacentral:rRNA from 1 species